GAUGAACGCUGGCGGCGUGCCUAAUACAUGCAAGUCGAGCGAACGGACGAGAAGCUUGCUUCUCUGAUGCUAGCGGCGGACGGGUGAGUAACACGUGGAUAACCUACCUAUAAGACUGGGAUAACUUCGGGAAACCGGAGCUAAUACCGGAUAAUAUUUUGAACCGCAUGGUUCAAAAGUAAAAGACGGUCUUGCUGUCACUUAUAGAUGGAUCCGCGCUGCAUUAGCUAGUUGGUAAGGUAACGGCUUACCAAGGCAACGAUGCAUAGCCGACCUGAGAGGGUGAUCGGCCACACUGGAACUGAGACACGGUCCAGACUCCUACGGGAGGCAGCAGUAGGGAAUCUUCCGCAAAGGGCGAAAGCCUGACGGAGCAACGCCGCGUGAGUGAUGAAGGUCUUCGGAUCGUAAAACUCUGUUAUUAGGGAAGAACAUAUGUGUAAGUAACUGUGCACAUCUUGACGGUACCUAAUCAGAAAGCCACGGCUAACUACGUG
rnacentral:rRNA from 1 species